rnacentral:rRNA from 1 species
GGUUGCGAUCAUACCAGCACUAAUGCACCGGAUCCAUCAGAACUUAGCAGUUAAGCGUGCUUGGGCGAGAGUAGUACUAGGAUGGGUGACCCCCUGGGAAGUCCUCGUGUUGCAACCCC